CUUAUUACAACCUCCCUCGAAACGCAAUGCGUCCUCCCCUCCCAUGUGUUGCUCCUUCGUGCACCCCUGUUUCUCUGUCGGAGCUGCUUUGCUUCUUGCAUUGCUUGACGGCACCUGCAGUCGGCAAUGGCGUCCACCGCCGGCUCGACGCAAUGCCCAAAACGGCAUGCGCACGGAAACUGAUGCUACAGUAUCUAGGCAGAUUGCAGAGAGAGAGAGAGAGAGAGAGAAUGCACCGAUGCAACUGCAUUCUGGCCUAUACUUGUUUCUGACAUGGGCCUGAUAUUUAAGUAGCCCAGUCAACUUAUUUCUGACACAAUCUGGCCCAGCUUAACAUUUGCUUCCUCGUCAGGUCUCAGGCUCUCAGGCACCCCGGCGCGUACAAUGGCGGCCUCCUGAUCCCGGCGUCGGUGUCCACACGCGAAAGGAGCGCCGAUGCACCCGACGAGUAUGGCGUGCCGAAAAGUCGAGAGGUCUCUUCUCUCUUCCGCAGAUGUUCCUUCGCAUCUGGUAUUGUACUCUCUGCACCUGCUGGCAGCAAUCCUCCGUGGCGCCACACCACCUGUUCGACGGAAUGCCCACAAAUGACAAGCGAGGAUUGCGUCGGCACGCUUUUCUCCCAGUCCAUGCUGCUCGGAGGAUUGCUCUGAUCCAGCACAACUGUCAUACUACCGUUGUUGCUGCUCCGGCGGCCUUCCAGAGAGAUUUCUAUUCCAGUUCCACAAAUUUAUCGAACACCCUAUGUGCGGAGCACUACUUAGCUAGCAUGGAAUGCACUAACACAGGUAGCUCGUUCAGUGUUCACGCAUUUGGAUCGGGAAAUCCCACUUGUUCUAUGGUAGUUGCUGAUGUCAACAAUUUGUGGCAUUUCUAUUUGCAGCUCCUUGACUUUUGUUGUUUGCCAGGGAAGUUUCCUGGUACAUUGGUUUGUGCCAUUUCUUUCUUUAUUGGUUUGUGCCAUUUCUUUCUUUAUUCUACUCAAUAAGCAUAGUUGCUGACUGGAUGGCACUUGCUAAUUUAAUAGAGAAACAAUAGCUGUGAUGCGGGCAUUAAGAGAUAAGCAUUGGUACGGAGCUACCAAAAGCAGCAGUGAUCGCGCUGCCAUCUAGCUAAGCUGCAGCGCAUUCCUUAGUUAGAUCUGCGGCUGUGCAUCCUGCGCUGCCCCCUAAACCUCACUGAUUUGGACGAGAGCCAGAACCACAUUAGGUGAUGGAGUAGGUGGAGGAAGCAGCUGAUCCUAGCUGCAACUCGAGAUAAACUGAUCAAGCCCUUCCUUAGCAGGCAAUCGUUCACAAGUUCCAGACUGCCGUUGUUGCUGCUCUACACUUCUGAAGAGGGAUUCAGCAUGAUAGUCUUUCAAAUAUGAGUGGAAUGGAGGCUGCUUUAGCAUCUGGACUGUUGAAGGUUGCAGGAGACAAGCUAGUUUCACUAAUAAAGAGUGAGUUUGCUUCCAUAACUGGUGUGAAAAAAGAUCUGUCUGACCUCCAGGACAUACAUGGAGAGAUUACAAGCUGGCUGUCUCUAGUUCAUAUAAAUGAUAAAGGAGAUUCAGAGCCCAGGAGGGAUACACGGACAAGGCAGCAGCAUUCACACCUUGGUUCCAAUUUUGACAAGUAAAGAUGGAUUGGUGCUGCUGGUUGUCCACAUUUUCUUGAUUAUUCAGAACUUAAUUGCUUUGCUUGGCAGCGAUGUGGUACUCUCGUGCCAUGUACUGCUCGUCUGAACUUUUGUGUUUGUACCACUCGUACUCGUGUGGUUCCAGUGUGCCCAGUGACCACUGAGGAAGCAUACGUGUGCAUUUGCCUGCUGUAUUCUUGCUCUUGCUGUUCAUGGAAGCAGUGUUCAAAUUGUUUUAGAUG